rnacentral:rRNA from 1 species
GGACUACCGGGGUUUCUAAUCCUGUUUGCUCCCCACGCUUUCGCAUUUUAGCGUCAGAUACAAGCCAAGAAGCUGCCUUCGCAAUCGGUAUUCCUCUCGAGAUCUACGCAUUUUACCGCUACUCCGAGAAUUCUACUUCUCUCUCUUGCUCUCUAGCUUACCAGUUUUAAUUGCAGUUCCCCAGUUGAGCCGGAGUCUUUAACAAUUAACUUAAUAAGCCGCCUACACGCGCUUUACGCCCAGUAACUCCGAAUAACGCUUGCACCCUUCGUAUUACCGCGGCUGCUGGCAC